GCACACACACGCCUCACUGGCACGCACAGAUAUCACCCAUCCACACGCGUUUUUUUUUCCCGCGAAUCGCAGGGCAUAUAAAGAGAGACGCCCCAUCGAGCUUCGCCGGCGCAUUCUCGCUUGUUUUUUUUUCGUUCCGUGUAGCUUGCGGAGACUCGAAAUGAGUGCCGCCGGAGAUCUAGUACCCGUCUCCGGAAAGGCAGCGACGGAUGCACAUGUUGCGCCCGCCACGGACAGGACACCUCAGCUGCCACAUGAGGCUACCGGCAGCCGGCUACCGGCGCAUCCCGUGCGCGAACGCUCCCUCCGCGGCCAUGGAGAUGCGCUAUACGGCUCAUCGCCUAAGCACGCGCCGCUGCAGACGCCUUCGUCUCCAAGAGGCCGUGACACUCCACAGGCAUCGCCCGCAGAAAAGGGGCACGGCCCUGCGUCUGUCUGUCAAGGGGAGGAGUUGGAGGCGGAGAGUGUCGUGUUUGCAGACGCACAGCACCGCCGCACGCGUUUCACGGAUGCCAGCGCGAGCGCCGCGCUGCUGGGCUGCGUUGACCUCGGCUUCGUGGAUGCGGAGCGUGUCGUAGAUGAGGAGAUGGACGUGGCGAGCCGAAGCAAGCUCGACGAGGCGAGCGGCGGCAGUAUCAAGGGCAAUGCCGUCUUCGAGGCGAGCGGCAGGCAUGAUGCCUGUGCUGUGGCAAACGUGCUGGCACCGACGCCAAAGAUCGAUGCCGCCGGAGGAAAUGUGGUUGAGGUCGACCACGGCGCCGCUGACAGCGACCACGGCUUCGAGUCUCGCUCAGAGCAGCCGCUGGCCUCGUGCUGUGUGGACACGCGUCGUUACCCCGACAGCUGGCGACAUACACGGCCGCGGCGCUAUGCCUUUGAGCGACCGCUGCACUCCUACCAGAUUGCCGGCCAGAUGUACUGCCUGGUGGUCAUCAUAUUGUUUUGGUCUAGCGUGUUUGCAGCCUACGUGCUGCUCUACACCCAGGACAAGCAGGACUGCCUGGCUGAACUCGUGGCAUUCUCGACGCUCUUCGGAGCGGGCGUCGUGUGCGUGUACAUGUUCUUUUUCUGGCUCUCUUUCAAGGACUGCACGGACCGCAGCAACUCGGGUGAGCUGUGCAUGUUCUGCCGCCGUCGCACGCAUGUGGACUCCAAGCACUGCAAGGCGUGCAACAAGUGCGUGGAGGGAUUCGACCACCACUGCAAGUGGCUGAACGUGUGCGUCGGGAGGGAGAACUAUAUCGCUUUUUUCUGCUUCGUGAGCGGAAGCGUGUUCACCAGCUUCACAACUCUUGGCAGCGUCAUCUGCUUGCUUGCGCGGUGGUGGCAUGUGCUGGCGGAGCGCCACAGCGCCUACUUUCGCGCGGGCCCGGUUGUGCUGUGCAUCGUGCUCCUCGUCGGCAUCGUUCCCAUUGUGCACUUGUUCGGAUUUCACAUCUACUUGCAUUUUAUACUGAGGACGACAACGUAUCAGCACAUUGUAGGCAAGCGCGAGGAGACCUUCCAGAUCCCGGCCGAGGAGGCAGCCCCAAAGAAGACAAGCUGUUGCUGCUGCUAGAGUGUCGUGGACGACAGCCGCCACGACUCCUCUCGGGGCUGCCGGUGCCUCAGGGGGGGGGCGACUGGUCUGCCUCUCGCCGCGUGCUCAUGUAUGCAAAACAGAAAAAGUGCUCCAAACGCGUGCCUUUGCGGUGCAUUACGUCUCUCCCUCUUCCCUCUUUCUCUAUGUGCUUCAACGGUCUCUUCGCUUCUUUUUUUUUAUUUGAGUGUGUGUGCUUGCUUGCGGCAGCGGCGGCGAUGUUGUCUUCUCUGGCUGUUGGCUCAUGUGCACAGCGCCUUGUCCUUUCUGCGACUUGUGAUGCACGUUUAUGGCAUCUUUGGUGGGGCCCAUGUACAGACGAUAUGCGUGGGUAUCCGUGUCGACGAUGCUGAACGGCCCUUUCUCCCCCUACUCCCCUCUUUCUCCUCCGUUUCUUAUUAUUGCGACGAUAAUUGCCGUGCUGCCGUUGCCGCUCGAUGCUGUUUGUUGUCGUCCGUGGUGAAUGUCCUGCGCGAUUCGGCUGCUCACAUUCGCCGGGUGGUCGUUCUUCCUUUGUCGUCGCUCUUGUUCGUUUUGGUUCCCGUCCAUGUUCUUCUGGCUCCCCGCUGCCGCUGCUGAUGCGCUUCUUUCUCUCUCCUCGUCUUUGUAAAACUCAACGUUUUCUCUUCGUCUGUGUCGGGGUGCGCGCGCGUGUGCGUCUGUGAGUCAGCACGUAUGUAUACACAUGGCGCGUGUCGAGUGAUCUAUCGCCACACCCCUCCUCCUCCUCCUCGUUGGCGGUCGUUUGUGUGUGAGGUGCUUGGUGUUCUUAUUAGUAGUCGUAGCUCGUGCCGCACCGUGUCGCAUUCCUCCUCGUCCUUGACCAUCCUCUCCGCGACUCCUCUCAGGCGCCACUGGCGGCGCUUUCUUUCUUACAUCCGCUUGACCUCACUUCUUUUUCUUUUUUUGUGUGGUUGUGUGUGCUCUCCUCGUUUUCCCUUUCUCGCGCACGAGCGCCAAGACAAGCAUGUUUGCAUUACGCACGUACGGCGACAGCGGUAUUUGGCCGACCGCGCCUCCUGCACUGCCCGUUUUAUGGUCUCUCUCUCACACCCUCUGCUGCAAUCUUCGUUUUCCUCUGUGCUGGCUUGUAAUAUGUGCACCCCGAUGACGAGGGGACAACGCCCCGCAGGGCGUGGCGUCUCAGUGUGCAGCGCAGCAGCCCCACCUAUCCCUGCCAGUGCUCAACCGCUUCUCGUGGCGGCAGGGCGUGAGGUCCUGGACGGCGUUGCGUGGGGGAGGGGCGACCUGCCAGGGCGAACACGCUUCUGCGAUCGAUAUGGUGGGCAGAGCGUCGGCGUGACUCGAGCGUCUCCCACCCCCGGCCCUCACACUGUCUACUGACGUGGGGGUGCCUGAGUGCCACCCGCGAGGAGGAUGCACGACGUGGCGACCUGCCUGAUGGGGGAGCGGCUGUGAGGCGACAUGCGAGGCGGCGGAUUUGUAGAGUCUGGGGCAGAGGCCGUGCUGCGAUGACUGGGUCCGCAUCGCUGUAACGCGCGUGUCUAGGGCUGCUGCGCGCGACGUGAUGGGCGCCUGUGGGGCAGAACGAGCGCGUUGACGGAAAAGGUGGCUUGGCUCUUACUGUCUGGCCCACUGCCCUUUUCUCUCCCACCGCGGCACCGUCGCUGGUAGAGGCGUUUUUGUACACCAAACGCGACGCAG
rnacentral:misc_RNA from 1 species